GCCGAACGCUGGCGGCGUGCUUAACACAUGCAAGUCGAACGAGUGGCGGACGGGUGAGUAAUGCUUGGGAAUCUCGCUUAUGGAGGGGGAUAACUACGGGAAACUGUAGCUAAUACCGCGUACCAUAGGAUGAGCCCAAGGGGGAGUAGGUAGUUGGUGAGGUAAAGGCUCACCAAGCCGACGAUCUCUAGCUGGUCUGAGAGGAUGACCAGACCCACGGGCACUGAGACACGGCCCAUACUCCGACGGGAGGCAGCAGUGGGGAAUAUUGCGCAAUGGGGGCAACCUGACGCACCCAUGCCGCGUGAAUGAAGAAGGCCGUCGGGUUGUAAAGUUCUGUCGGUAGCGAGGCGUUAACUACAGAAGAAGCACCGGCUAACUCCGUGCCAGCAGCCGCGGUAAUAC
rnacentral:rRNA from 1 species